AACGCAACUUGCGCCCCUUGGUAUUCCGAGGGGCACGCCUGUUUGAGUGUCGUGAAUUCCUCCACCUUACAUCCUUUUUGGAUUGUAAGGCUGGGAUUUGGGGGUUUCUUGUGGGUCCUUAGUUGAUCCACUCCCCUUGAAUGCAUGAGUGAAGACCCAUGCGGGCCCUCGGUGUGAUAAAUAUCUAUGCCAUGGUCUUAGCACGGACAGUUCUUUGCUUCUAACCGUCUGCUUGUCAGACAAACAUAUUAUACACUUGACCUCAAAUCAGGCGGGACUACCCGCUGAACUUAA
rnacentral:misc_RNA from 1 species